AAGGCUUAGCAUCAGCUUUCGCAUCUCCCCGGUGAGCGACAGUUAUUAAAUCUCGCAUUUCAAGAAAUCAUAAGUCGUUUCCAAAUCAAAACAAUAAAAUAUUAUUUUUUGGCUCACAAGGGCAUUUUCGUCAUUGUUUUUCAAAAUACUGAAACCCGCCAAAAACAUGGUGUAAAAAAUAAAUAUGUUCGUACAUACUUUAAAUCAGAUAACUAAAGUAUAAAUUUUUUUUUACAGUGACACGUGGGCCCCUAACUGACCAAGAGGGUGUAGGGCUACGAACCCUUACUUUCUAGGAUGCAACUCCGAGAUUAAUUCUCGUCUUACUCAACUAUCAACAAACUGUCUUGAGCCUGAAAAAUGGAUAGGAAGAGGGGUGAGAUUAUGAUUACAUAAUUCUAGUGAGUAAACAAACACCAUCUAAAUAAUCUAAAGGUGAGUAAAGGGAGACAAUUAAAAAUAAUUCAUUUCAGCAAAUUUUUCACAACACGAAUAUUCAUUUCAACCAAAUAAUCAAUAUGGCUCGUAAAUUUCUCAAAACUUGGCUCAUGUCAAAUCCUGUACUUGGGGACAUCUGGACCAGGGGUAUCCAACCGAGUCCGCCAAGGUUGUGAAAAAUUUUAUAUAAUCAUAAAAUUUGUUUUUAUUUUGACAACAUAGUUGUUCCUUGACGUUGGCUGAGUCUCACUCUCACGUGGUGGUCCACGUGAAGUGCACUCAAAAAGCCCACCUUAGGAGAUACCCUACGCGCCUCUACGACUGAGGUGAGAAUAUAAAAGAGUUUACAGUGCCCCUCUAAUAGGUUGGCCCACGGAACCCCCAACCACUGCAGUAGCUAAUCUUUUAUCUACCACCUGAUUUAUAAAAUCUUUUUACCGUAUGACAUGGCAAUUUAUCGCAACCUAGCCUCUCAAGGCUGAAUACAUAGUACAAAUAAUUCUAACACUAAAAUCAGUUUAGCCAUUCAUGCUCAUUUAUUGUCAUAAGCCAUCCAAUUUAAAACCAUAAAUUUACAACACAAGCAGGCAGUCUCCAAUUACUCUAUUUUCAAAACCAAUAUUCGAUUUUUCAAAAAAUUUAUAAAAUCAUUUUAUAAAAUCACAAUUUCUCCUAAAACAUAGCAAUUUACCAUUUAAACCCAUUUUUCAUAUAAUCACACAAUUGUAUAAAACUACUCUAGAUAAUUAAGACGAUAAUAAGUUUACUCACAGUUUUCGAAAACUAAAUUCGGGUACUCCAACUAUUACUCAUCGCGUGCGAUUUCUUUGCCCUUGCUAGGGGAUUCGCCACCUUGACAAAUUGCACAAUUAAGAGGUUUACUACUUUGGUACUAAACCAAAAUAAACAAAUUUAUACUACUAAUGCAUGAUAUGAAGUGCAAAAUGUCUAAAUUUUGCCUAAACGCGAUGCUAGCCUAUUUCGGUCUUUUACCUGAUAAAUCGAUAUACGCGUCCGUUUAAACUCUAAAUUAAUUUUUUUCAAUUUUUAUACCUCAAUUGCACCCAAAUUGAUGUAAUGUUCGUCAGUGUGGUGCAAAUUAUCAGUCCCGGUAGCAAAUUAUGAAAAUACCCAUAGUGGGUAAAAAUUCAUAUUUUUGCUCCAAAAAUUUCCAUUAUUUUUCUAGGCUCAUAAUUCAUCAUUCCUCAUCAUAAUUUCUCAAAUAAACAUCAAGAUCAGCAGCCAAUAUUCCCCUAGAAAAUUCGGCCAAUAAUGGUAAUGGAGGAAAAUGAAUUCUUUUCUUGUUGUUUUGUUUCUAAAUAUGCUAAACUAACUAAAAACACUAACAUAACUUAAAAUCAAAUUAAUCUAACUUCAUUCUCUCUCCAUACCCAUUUGGGCAGCCAUGAAUUCACCAUGAAAACAUGAAAUCUAACCAUGGAAAAUAAGGAGAAAUGCAUGGGAAAGGUAGAUCACAAGUCAAAAUCAAGAAAUUUUACCUUUGAUUGCUUGAUUUCUUGAAAUCCACCAAUUUUCUUUUAAUUUUCCUACCUAGGUUUCUUGUUUUUUCCCUUUCCUCCUUUUGUUCUUCCUUUUUCUUUGUUUGUCCG
rnacentral:lncRNA from 1 species